GUUACCAUCUUCAGACAUUGAAAACACAGGUUCUCGUCCGAUCACCGAAGUUAAGCAAUGUGAGGCCCUAUCAGUACUUGGGAGGGUAACCACCUGGGAACACCGGGUGCUGUAGGCU